rnacentral:rRNA from 1 species
ACACAUGCAGUCGAACGGUGAUGUCAGAGCUUGCUCUGGCGGAUCAGUGGCGAACGGGUGAGUAACACGUGAGUAACCUGCCCCCGACUCUGGGAUAACUGCUAGAAAUGGUAGCUAAUACCGGAUAUGACGACUGGCCGCAUGGUCUGGUCGUGGAAAGAAUUUCGGUUGGGGAUGGACUCGCGGCCUAUCAGGUUGUUGGUGAGGUAAUGGCUCACCAAGCCUACGACGGGUAGCCGGCCUGAGAGGGUGACCGGCCACACUGGGACUGAGACACGGCCCAGACUCCUACGGGAGGCAGCAGUGGGGAAUAUUGCACAAUGGGCGAAAGCCUGAUGCAGCAACGCCGCGUGAGGGAUGACGGCCUUCGGGUUGUAAACCUCUUUUAGUAGGGAAGAAGCGAAAGUGACGGUACCUGCAGAAAAAGCACCGGCUAACUACGUGCCAGCAGCCGCGGUAAUACGUAGGGUGCAAGCGUUGUCCGGAAUUAUUGGGCGUAAAGAGCUCGUAGGCGGUUUGUCGCGUCUGCUGUGAAAUCCCGAGGCUCAACCUCGGGUCUGCAGUGGGUACGGGCAGACUAGAGUGCGGUAGGGGAGAUUGGAAUUCCUGGUGUAGCGGUGGAAUGCGCAGAUAUCAGGAGGAACACCGAUGGCGAAGGCAGAUCUCUGGGCCGUAACUGACGCUGAGGAGCGAAAGCAUGGGGAGCGAACAGGAUUAGAUACCCUGGUAGUCCAUGCCGUAAACGUUGGGAACUAGAUGUGGGGACCAUUCCACGGUCUCCGUGUCGCAGCUAACGCAUUAAGUUCCCCGCCUGGGGAGUAC